AGAGCGAACGCUGGCGGCAGGCCUAACACAUGCAAGUCGAGCGCCCGUAGCAAUACGGGAGCGGCAGACGGGAUAGUAACACGUGGGAACGCGCCCUUCGGUUCGGAAUAACUCAGGGAAACUUGAGCUAAUACCGGAUACGCCCUUACGGGGAAAGAUUUAUUGCCGAAGGAACGGCCCGCGUCCGAUUAGCUAGUUGGUGAGGUAAUGGCUCACCAAGGCGACGAUCGGUAGCUGGUCUGAGAGGAUGACCAGCAUCACUGGGACUGAGACACGGCCCAGACUCCUACGGGAGGCAGCAGUGGGAAUAUUGGACAAUGGGCGCAAGCCUGAUCCAGCCAUGCCGCGUGGAUGAUGAAGGCCUUAGGGUUGUAAAGUCCUUUUAACGGGGAAGAUAAUGACGGUACCCGUAGAAUAAGCCCCGGCUAACUUCGCGCCAGCAGCCGC
rnacentral:rRNA from 1 species